rnacentral:rRNA from 1 species
UACGUAGGUGGCAAGCGUUGUCCGGAUUUACUGGGCGUAAAGGGCUCGUAGGCGGCCAACUAAGUCGGACGUGAAAUCCCUCGGCUUAACCGGGGAACUGCGUCCGAUACUGGAUGGCUUGAGUUUGGGAGAGGGAUGCGGAAUUCCAGGUGUAGCGGUGAAAUGCGUAGAUAUCUGGAGGAACACCGGUGGCGAAGGCGGCAUCCUGGACCAACACUGACGCUGAGGAGCGAAAGCCAGGGGAGCAAACGGG